rnacentral:rRNA from 1 species
CGGCGGACGGGUGAGUAAUGCCUAGGAAUCUGCCUGGUAGUGGGGGACAACGUUUCGAAAGGAACGCUAAUACCGCAUACGUCCUACGGGAGAAAGCAGGGGACCUUCGGGCCUUGCGCUAUCAGAUGAGCCUAGGUCGGAUUAGCUAGUUGGUGAGGUAAUGGCUCACCAAGGCGACGAUCCGUAACUGGUCUGAGAGGACGAUCAGUCACACUGGAACUGAGACACGGUCCAGACUCCUACGGGAGGCAGCAGCU